rnacentral:rRNA from 1 species
AGAACGAACGCUGGCGGCAGGCUUAACACAUGCAAGUCGAGCGCUGUAGCAAUACAGAGCGGCGCACGGGAGAGUAAUACAUGGGAACCUACCUUUUGGUUCGGGAUAACGUCGGGAAACUGACGCUAAUACCGAAUAAGUCCUUCGGGAGAAAGAUUUAUCGCCGAAAGAUGGGCCCAUGUUGGAUUAGCUAGUUGGUGAGGUAACGGCUCACCAAGGCUACGAUCCAUAGCGGGUCUGAGAGGAUGAUCCGCCUCACUGGGACUGAGACACGGCCCAGACUCCUACGGGAGGCAGCAGUGGGGAAUAUUGGACAAUGGGGGCAACCCUGAUCCAGCCAUGCCGCGUGAGUGAUGAAGGCCUUCGGGUUGUAAAGCUCGUUUUGGUGGGGACGAUGAUGACGGUACCCACAGAAUAAGCUCCGGCUAACUUCGUGCCAGCAGCCGC